rnacentral:tRNA from 1 species
GCCGGGGUGGCCGAGCGGUCAAAGGCGGCGGGCUGCAGUAACCCGUUGAUCCCGGGUUCAAAUCCCGGCCCCGGCUCCA